rnacentral:rRNA from 1 species
UACGAAGGGUGCAAACGUUGCUCGGAAUUAUUGGGCGUAAAGCGCACGUAGGCGGCUUUGCAAGUCGGAUGUGAAAGCCCUCGGCUCAACCGAGGAAGUGCAUCCGAAACUGCUGGGCUUGAGUACAAAAGAGGAUCGCGGAAUUCCCGGUGUAGAGGUGAAAUUCGUAGAUAUCGGGAGGAACACCAGUGGCGAAGGCGGCGAUCUGGGUUGAUACUGACGCUGAGGUGCGAAAGCGUGGGGAGCAAACAGG